AGCCAGGAUUCAGAUUCUCUAAUUAACACCAAAGCCUAAGUCUUGAAUGUACAACUUUUCUUUUUUUGCACAAACUUCAGUGAUGAAAUUGCUUCCAAGACUUCUAAGUUUUAAAAUGGUUCAAACCUUUAUUUAAUUCCUCUAAAUCAAAACAAAACAAAAACCUCCUUUUCAGAUCCUGUUCAAAUCUAGAGUUACUCUGUUAUUUCCAUUGGCAGAAGUCUCAUCUGAGCAUUGUCAGAGACCCACAAAUACGAGUGACCGUCUGCUGAGCAAUUGCAACACAAGAAUAAUGGAUAAGAAUUGUGUUUUCACUCUCUCACCGAUGGAGGCAGCUAGUCCACACAACUCGUAUUCCCCCUCUGAUGAUGUACUAUUGUGAAACAAAGCACUUAGACUACAUGCACACAUGUUAACAGAAGGGCAAUGUCUAACCCUAGAGAUGAAGAUUUCAACUUGAUAAUGAUUUGUUGACAGUUACUCAUUUCUUAAUCCAGUCAUGAUGAGACAAGGAACUGCAUAAGUCAAAGACCACAUGAAUUAUCAAUGCCUAAACCACCAGCACCUCUCCCCCUGAAAACUGGACAGUGUCCUUCUAGCUGGCCAGGCCACUCCUACAGCAGCUUCUGCAGUCCAUUCGCUCCACAGAGGAAGUGAUGAUCUUACAACAUAAUUAUCUCCUGCUUCAUUCUCCACUUAGGAAGACGAAUCCAAAGGCUUUGCUAAGAACCACAAGUCUCUGCAUUGUUUGAUCCUGUUUCUACCACGUAAGGUUGUUUGAUCCAGCAUUAGAAGAUUGCAUUUUGUGAGAACCAAGCCAACGCCCACUACAGCUGUUGGACCAGCAACGUGCGUCACACCACAGACAGCCUGCCCAGCCACUGCUUUCCGGUUCCUGUUAUUGUCUCAGAAAUGCCAAAAUUUGGAAUUAAAAAAUUGCUCAUAAAA